CACAAAAAGCAUACCACAGUUAUAAGACAUGGACUAAAGAAAUCAAUAUCUAACAAAUAUGUCAAGGGAUCAUCUGUUUGUGCAAAAGAAAGGGGUGGCUGCCUGGCUGUGAUAUAACCCUAGUUGCCAGCUCGGUGUAAAACAUCUCCUCAAUUUGCAGAUGUUCCUGCAUUUUUUAAAUGAUGAGGUAUCCCGAGAGCGUUUAACCAAUCUGAGAGGUACUAACAGUUGAAGGUGUCUGCCCUUUUAUUAUCAAUGUUGUAACACUACCUAAGAAUAAGGAUAUAAUUACAAGAUCCAAUUAGAAAGACAAGGUAUGAUUUUAACUACUUU